CAUGGGUGUCUUUUUUUUUUCUCAAAGGUUUGCUGACAUUCAGCACAGGAUACAGACAGUGAACAACAUUAAUGAACACUUGGAACCAAUAUGGAGGUGAGCCAAGACCACACACUUGAUGUGUGAAGUGCAUUUGCAUGCAAGGGUCACAUGGGAAACAACAAGAGGGUAUGGUUCAGGUAAGAACUCUUUACACCAGUCCAUCAUACAGUGACAGUGCCUGUACAAUUGAUGGAUCAGACUUGGAGCCCUCACGGAAUUCCUCCAUUGACAACUUGCCAUCAGCAUUCUGUGGAAUAGAACAUAGCAUUUCGACAAAGCAGCACUGAAGAAGAAGUUCAAGAGAGAAGAAUUCAAGUCCAUUAUAAAGUAUUUGACAGAAAUAAGAAUAACUAAUUUAUUAAUUUAAAAACCAGAAUUAACAAACAGUACAUUCUAAGAUACAUAACUUGUUCUAAGUCAAGGUUAAACAGAGAAUGAAAAGACUCACACAGUCAGUAAUCCUCUCACUCCAAAGAUCUCAUUGGUAAUCCUCCUUACUUUCUACCAUAAAUUUCUUAUGAUGUUGCUUUAAAGAAUUUGGUAUUGGAUCAACUAAUAAUCCCCUAAUUGAUAUUUUUCCAUAUUCACAUCAAUUGUCUUCUGAAUAUUGUAUUAACAUUGUUAGGAGAAAUUCUGUUUUGGUCACUCAUGGGAGUUCAAGGGUUAAUCAUUGGAUUAAUUUAUAUUUUAUCUCAAAAUCUGUAGGCUGUGUAUACACUUAACUCUUCAUGGAGAAGGAAAUAAAUAAAUUAGAGCAGGCAUGAUUAAAUUUCAAAUCCUGAGAAUUUGAGUUUAUCUAUACAAUUAACAUGUUUACUACAAAAACACAUACUUAGACAAAUUUAUGAAAUA